rnacentral:rRNA from 1 species
GAUGAACGCUGGCGGCGUGCCUAAUACAUGCAAGUCGAGCGAACAGAUGAGUAGCUUGCUCCUCUGACGUUAGCGGCGGACGGGUGAGUAACACGUGAACAACCUACCUAUAAGUCUGGGAUAAAUUCUGGAAACGGCAGCUAAUACCCGAUAGUCAUCUUUAUCGCAUGCUUUACUAGUGAAAGACGGUUUUGCUUGUUGUUAUAGCUGAAUCUCAGCCGCUUUUGCUAGUUGGUAAGGUAACGUAUUACCAAGGCAACGCUUCGUAGCCGACCUGAAAGGGUGAUCGGCCACACUAGAACGGAGACACGGUCCAGACUCCUACGAGAGGCAGCAGUAGGGAACAGUACGCAAUGGGCGAAAACCUGACGGAGCAGCGCCACGUGAGUGAUGAAGGUCUUCGGAUCGUAAAACUCUGUUAUGAGGGGAGAACAAAUGUGUAAGUAAAUACGCACGUCUUGACGGUACCUAACCAGAAAGCCACGGCUAACUACGUG